rnacentral:rRNA from 1 species
GUCUGAGACCUGAUGCCGAGCCGAUUGUGGUGAAGUGGAUGAUCCUAUGCUGUCGAGAAAAGCCUCUAGCGAGUUUCAUGGCGGCCCGUACCCUAAACCGACUCAGGUGGUCAGGUAGAGAAUACCGAGGCGUUCGGGUGAACUAUGGUUAAGGAACUCGGCAAAAUGCCCCCGUAACUUCGGGAGAAGGGGGGCCACACUGGUGAUGAGCUUUGCGCUCUGAGCUGGGGGUGGCCGCAGAGACCAGCGAGAAGCGACUGUUUACUAAAAACACAGGUCCGUGCGAAGCCGUAAGGCGAUGUAUACGGACUGACGCCUGCCCGGUGCUGGAACGUUAAGGGGACCGGUUAGCUCACUUUCGGGUGGGCGAAGCUGAGAACUUAAGCGCCAGUAAACGGCGGUGGUAACUAUAACCAUCCUAAGGUAGCGAAAUUCCUUGUCGGGUAAGUUCCGACCUGCACGAAUGGCGUAACGACUUCUCGACUGUCUCAACCAUAGGCCCGGUGAAAUUGCACUACGAGUAAAGAUGCUCGUUUCGCGCAGCAGGACGGAAAGACCCCGGGACCUUUACUACAGUUUGAUAUUGGUGUUCGGUUCGGCUUGUGUAGGAUAGCUGGGAGACUUUGAAGCAGGCACGCCAGUGUUUGUGGAGUCGUCGUUGAAAUACCAGUCUGGUCGUGCUGGAUGUCUAACCUGGGUCCGUGAUCCGGAUCAGGGACAGUGUCUGAUGGGUAGUUUAACUGGGGCGGUUGCCUCCUAAAGGGUAACGGAGGCGCCCAAAGGUUCCCUCAGCCUGGUUGGCAAUCAGGUGUUGAGUGUAAGUGCACAAGGGAGCUUGACUGUGAGACCGACGGGUCGAGCAGGGACGAAAGUCGGGACUAGUGAUCCGGCGGUGGCUUGUGGAAGCGCCGUCGCUCAACGGAUAAAAGGUACCCCGGGGAUAACAGGCUGAUCUUCCCCAAGAGUCCAUAUCGACGGGAUGGUUUGGCACCUCGAUGUCGGCUCGUCGCAUCCUGGGGCUGGAGUCGGUCCCAAGGGUUGGGCUGUUCGCCCAUUAAAGCGGUACGCGAGCUGGGUUUAGAACGUCGUGAGACAGUUCGGUCCCUAUCCGCUGUGCGCGUAGGAGUCUUGAGAAGGGCUGUCCCUAGUACGAGAGGACCGGGACGGACGAACCUCUGGUGUGCCAGUUGUUCUGCCAAGGGCAUGGCUGGUUGGCUACGUUCGGGAGGGAUAACCGCUGAAAGCAUCUAAGCGGGAAGCCUGCUUCGAGAUGAGGACUCCCACCCACUUGAUGGGGUAAGGCUCCCAGUAGACGACUGGGUUGAUAGGCCGGAUCUGGAAGCACAGUAAUGUGUGGAGGUGACCGGUACUAAUAGGCCGAGGGCUUGUCCU